CCCAGAAGACGGAAAUCUUCAUACUCUGAUGACGGAGGCAGUAUGACCUCAGAAACGUUGGUUAACAUCGACCAGAAUACACAGCUUAACAACCCAGAAGACAGAAAUCUUAAUUAUUUUAGUUCUUCCUUCAAUGGCUAAUAACCAAAAAUACAGCUGAAACUUUAUAAAUUACUAUAGAGCCUCCGAAGUAUGUCUGAGUAAUAAAUACACUGCAGGUUUUUAAUACUGGAUCAUGUUUAAAAUUUGUACACAUUUGUUUAAUUCCCACAGUGAGCUUAUACUUGUGGCUUCACAAUGAUGAAACAGGUAAGUCAAAUGUUGUUGGGUCUGUCAUCAUUUUAUCAUUCACCAAAAUGUCAUUCAGUAUAAUAUCUGAUUCACUCUGCUAGUGGAACCUUUCUCCAGAAUGUCCUUUUCUCUCAAUGGCACUUGUGGAAUGCUACCAGAGGAUAGUCAAAACCACUCAUUGGACUGUAUAUGUUAUGUAACUAUAUGGAAGUUUUGAGAUAAUUUUAAAGAAUUUGAUUUGAAAUAUUUGAAUUCAUUUUAUGUAGGUGAAUAUUAUGCAAAUGGAUGAAAUAUUGUACAAAUUAAAAAUUAGUAAUCCAAAAUUGAUUCAGUGUGUGCUGGCUGCCUCUUUCAGUGUAUAUGUUUUCUUUAUACUUGUAUUGAUCUUGGACCUUUUGUAGUUAUCAACAUGAAUCUUGAAUCCAUGUUUCUUAGGCAGAAAGAAAAAAUUAAAAUUUUUAUGUGGUAUUGGGUAAAAAUAUCUUGAAGCAUUACAAUAUGAUUGGUGAUUUUAGAGCUGCUGAUGCUCUAGAACGUGAGAAACUACUUGCAUGAGGAUCCAUGUCGGACAUCACGCCUCAUGGACUCGCUUCAGCCUCGCUCAGACUUUCAUAUCCGCAAUUGUUACCUUUCUCGAAUUGGAGCAGCGUUGCUUUGUUCGGUCAUGUGGCAUUCCCAUUCCAUGAGGUUGUACUGUUCUACAACAGCUGAUUUUCUGUUUAGUCCGUCAAGUAAGUCAGCAGAGGAAAAGAUGUCUGUGUACAGUUUGCGUCAUCGUCUCUCCCUCUCUUUGUUUUUUUGUUUUUUAAGCACUUUGCUGUGGUGUGUGUUGUCAUAUUUGCAGUUGCUGAUAUUAUGUCCUACUCCGCAGAAUUCCAUGCUGUUUGUAUAACCAGUCAUAUUAUACACUUUGUAAAUUUUGAUUCUGAAAUGUUUGUGUGUUAUCUGUAAUUCAUCUUUCCUUUGAGA